ACGGACUUAAUUUUUGAGCCUUAAUAGAGAAAUCUACUAAGUGACUGUUUUCACAUUCAGGGAAACCUAAGGUUUAAGAUAUGAGGUAAUCCUGAGCCAAAUUUCAAUUCUGAAAUAGGUGCAGAGACUCAAAGGAAACUAUCCUAACGAAAAGUUUUUUCUCUAUUUUCUAUUAUGAGUAGUAAUUAAGUGCGUAAUAUUGGAAAUAAUAAAAACAUCUGAACACUAAAAUAUUAAUAUUAGUUUUUAAAUAACUUCUAAUAGACGAGGAUAAAGAUAGAGUCCUUUUUUACAAUCUAUAUAAUUUUUCCUUAUAGAUAAGUGUAAAAAGAAAAUCCGUUGGCUUUAUAGACCUUGAGGGUUCAAGUCCCUCUACCCCCA
rnacentral:ncRNA from 1 species